CAGCCUCCGUUGCCUAGCCGCCCUUUACCCUGAAUGAAUACUUUAUUCCGGCGCGCUCUCAAACACGCCGCAACUGGGAGGGGAAAAGAAGGCGGGGCUCGGGAAGCCAGAUUUCCUCGUGCUUGAGCUUUAAGUGAAAGCUGGAAACCAUUUGAUGAGGACACCGUAAAAGAUAGCUCUCAAUCAAGUAUGGGUUAGACUCUGAAGGUCCUUCCAACUUGGGGAUUGUAUGACUGAGGAAAAUAAACUCUAUCAAUCUA